rnacentral:rRNA from 1 species
GAUGAACGCUAGCUACAGGCUUAACACAUGCAAGUCGAGGGGUCUCGCGGGAGCUUGCUCCCAAGAGACGACCGGCGCACGGGUGAGUAACGCGUAUCCAACCUGCCCUUCAUAUUGGGAUAGCCUUCCGAAAGGAAGAUUAAUACCGAAUAACAUAGAGUGGUUGCCUGAUUUCUCUAUGAAAGCUCCGGCGAUGAAGGAUGGGGAUGCGUUCCAUUAGGUAGUAGGCGGGGUAACGGCCCACCUAGCCAACGAUGGAUAGGGGUUCUGAGAGGAAGGUCCCCCACACUGGAACUGAGACACGGUCCAGACUCCUACGGGAGGCAGCAGUGAGGAAUAUUGGUCAAAUGGGCGCAAGCCUGAACCAGCCAAGUAGCGUGAAGGAUGACUGCCCUAUGGGUUGUAAACUGCUUUUGCGGGAGAAUAACCGGCGCCAGCGUGGCGCCUGCAUGUAUCCCGCGAAU